rnacentral:tRNA from 1 species
GCCUUCGUGGUGUAACGGUAGCACACUCGGCGCGUAUUCGGGAGGUCCAGGUUCGAGUCCUGGCGAGGACA